ensembl:lncRNA
ACGUUAUAUUAAAAUGUUUAAAAAUACUCUUUACGCUUUUACACAUUUUCAAAAAGAGGUGACAGAAAAAAAUAACUAUUGGUUUAGUUUAUUGGGCUGCUGAAUGGUAGCAUAGUUGUCGAAGUAGUCCACUGAAAUGACCCUGCCCCUUUUCUAUCACACACAAGGCUGGUAGCACGGCGCGCGGAGGACUCCCAUAAUAUAUCCUAUUGCCGCUUGUCGUGACACUUCAAUCGACAUUGCUUAGAAACAACACGGUUCUCAUUUAAUUGGCUUUGAAAAUUUGUUAUAGCCUACCAAAGCAUCAAGUAGUUAAUCUCACGUAUUUUCAAGUGUUCGAGGCUACCGACCACACCACACCAAGAACUUGACACGUUUUAGAGUUAACACGUGUGCUUUGCUUAGUCCUCCCGUCAUAUUGAUGUGGAUUCUUUCAUUUAUCGAAGAAAUCCUGUGAAAGAUAUUCUUUCCUUGGGUGUGAAGGAAUUAGCCUUUGUUGGGAUAAGUGAACAUAACGGUCCCUGUUAUCCGCGGAGUAGGUGUGGCAGAGGUGUGGGACAGGACCUGCGGCUGACAUUUGUUCAAGGCUAAAAACAUCGGGAAACUUUCGUGAUGUAACGUUUUUCAGUUUGAAUGGAAUACAAGAAAGCGUUGGAAUAAUGAAUUCACCUCUCUAUCCUCUCCCCUGCUCCAUGGUGGGAAUGAAGCCGUAAGUGUGCCUUUUGUCUUGACUUUGACCACAUGCUGUGAUGCAGCUUCCAUUAUGAAUCAUGGUGCCUGUCAAUCCUCUCAAAACCUCCAAAGUCACCCUACCCUCCCUCUGUCACCCUGAGCGGAACUUCUCCCUCCUUCAACCCGUGCUUCUGUCCACUUUUCUUUUAUUCGUCGGAUGAGGGGAAACAAACAGGCAGCUGUCUCAUUUUCCACCACCUGCAAGCCCCCAUCCCUCCCUUUCACCCAGCCACCCACUCACACACUCAAGUCUCACGUGCACACCCUUCAAUGUCAACUUCACAGGCCCACUAUUAGAGCCGUGUUUAGCUUAGUUUAGCUUUUCAACUUGGCACGCAUCGAUCAGGAACGAUUUUCUGUCAGCACAAACCGAGUGGACUGGAGAUUGAUCACUUGCUAUUGUGUGCUUGCCAGCCUCUGUGUGUGCGUGUGUGCGUGUGUGUGUGUGUGCGCUCACACAUACGUGUGUUUAAGGGCGGUGUAAAGGAAGCGUGUGGAGUCUAUAAAGCAAGUGACAAUUGAGGACCUCCUACUCUCAAAGCCACAGCUUAGAUUUUCCUUAUUCUCAUUUGCAAUCUGCCGGUGAAGACAAUAAGUGCCUCACAGGGAGGACCAUUGUCUUUCAAAUGAAGCUGUCUGUCUCCCAAAACUGGAACAGAAGGCUGUGAAAGCUGCCUCCUGCCUCGGCUAAAACCCUCAUUUGUGCAAAGAUCCCUUUGUCAGCACCAGCCUACUCCUUAAGUGACGCUGGUCCAAAAACGCAGGUUAUUACACAUUUUUACUGAUUUGCAUUCUGAGCUCCCCACUGAAUGCAAUUCAAUUUAGCUGUAUCAUAUAGAUAUCUGCAUAGAAACAAGAGGCUUUUUUGUUGAUCAAUUAAGUUUUUCUUUGCUAAAAACAAACAUACACCAUGUCUUCUGAGGAGUUUGUGCAUUUGAACAUGUCUUUGGCUAUGGGUGAAGGCCCCUUUCUCUUUUACAUCGUAAGAAUAUAGCUUAGCUGUGUGGGUUACUUAAAUGGGGUUUCUCUGCAAGUAGCCUUCUUCCUGUAGUUAGUGGUGAUGCCAAAUAGCAAAUAUAGCUUUGGAAAUGGAGAACAAAUAAAUGUGAGGGUGAUGUGGCACUCUGUGGACGCCCGGGAGCCUCACAGAGUCAUUACUUCUGCUUGGUUCUCCUGGCAAAUGAUAAAACAAAGCAGAAGAGAAAAAAAGAAGAUGAAAGCCAUUUGGCAUAAACUGGUCAGAGCCGGACAAUUGUGCCAAAGCUGUAAUGGAGCCAAACUGUGAGGGGUUUUUUUUUUGUGUGGUUUCCCCAGGGAGAGCAAGUGAAGUUCUGAGACCACACAUCUCUCAUCUAAAGAGCAGAGGAAAAGACAAGGAUGGGAUUGUGCCC